UACGUAGGGUGCAAGCGUUAAUCGGAAUUACUGGGCGUAAAGCGUGCGUAGGCGGCUUUGCAAGUCAGAUGUGAAAUCCCCGGGCUUAACCUGGGAACUGCAUUUGAGACUGCAUGGCUAGAGUGCGGCAGAGGGGGAUGGAAUUCCGCGUGUAGCAGUGAAAUGCGUAGAUAUGCGGAGGAACACCGAUGGCGAAGGCAAUCCCCUGGGCCUGCACUGACGCUCAUGCACGAAAGCGUGGGGAGCAAACAGG
rnacentral:rRNA from 1 species